GACGAACGCUGGCGGCGUGCUUAACACAUGCAAGUCGAACGCAGUGGCGAACGGGUGAGUAACGCGUAAUCAACCUGCCCUUCAGCGGGGGACAACAGGUGAAAACGACUGCUAAUAUCGCAUACGGAAGGAGGGGAUUGCGUCUGAUUAGCUAGUUUGAGGGGUAACGGCCCACCAAGGCGAUGAUCAGUAGCCGGUCUGAGAGGAUGAACGGCCACAUCUGGACUGAGACACGGCCCAGACUCCUACGGGAGGCAGCAGUGGGGAAUCUUCCGCAAUGGACGAAAGUCUGACGGAGCAACGCCGCGUGAGUGAUGACGGCCUUCGGGUUGUAAAGCUCUGUUAAUCGGGACGCGGUACCUGAAUAGAAAGCCACGGCUAACUACGUGCCAGCAGCCGCGGUAAUAC
rnacentral:rRNA from 1 species